GAUGAACGCUGGCGGCGUGCCUAAUACAUGCAAGUCGAGCGAACAGACGAGGAGCUUGCUCCUCUGACGUUAGCGGCGGACGGGUGAGUAACACGUGGAUAACCUCCCUAUAAGACUGGGAUAACUUCGGGAAACCGGCUCUAAUCCCGGAUAAUAUAUUGCACCGCAUGGUUGAAUAGUGAAAGUCGGUUUUUCUGGCACUUCUAGAUGGAUCUCCGCCGCUUUAGGUGGUUGGUAAGGUAACGGCUUACCACGGCGACGAUGCGUAGCCGACCGGUGAGGGGGGUCGGCGACACUGGAGCGGAGACAGGGACCAGGCUACUACGGGAGGCAGCAGAAGGGAAUCGUCCGCAAUGGGCGGAAGCCUGACAGAGCAAGGCCGCGUGAGUGAUGAAGGUCUUCGGAGCGUAAAGCUCUGUUAUGAGGGAAGAACAAAUGUGUAAGUAACUAUGCACGUCGUGACGGUACCUAAUCAGAAAGCCACGGCUAACUACGUG
rnacentral:rRNA from 1 species